rnacentral:rRNA from 1 species
ACGGGUGAGUAACGCGUAUCCAACCUUCCCGCAACUGGGGAAUAACCUUGCGAAAGUAAGACUAAUACCCCAUGGUCUCCACGGAUGGCAUCUGAAGUGGAGUAAAGGUUUCGGCCGGUUGCGGAUGGGGAUGCGUCCGAUUAGCUUGACGGCGGGGUAACGGCCCACCGUGGCAUCGAUCGGUAGGGGUUCUGAGAGGAAGGUCCCCCACAUUGGAACUGAGACACGGUCCAAACCCCUACGGGAGGCAGCAGUGAGGAAUAUUGGUCAAUGGGCGGAAGCCUGAACCAGCCAAGUAGCGUGAAGGACGACUGCCCUAUGGGUUGUAAACUUCUUUUAUGCGGGGAUAAAGUUCGCCACGUGUGGCGUUUUGCAGGUACCGCAUGAAUAAGGACCGGCUAAUUCCGUGCCAGCAACCGCGGUAAUACGGAAGGUCCAGGCGUUAUCCGGAUUCAUUGGGUUUAAAGGGAGCGUAGGCCGCCUUUUAAGCGUGUUGUGAAAUGUAGGGGCUCAACCCCUGCACUGCAGCGCGAACUGGAGGGCUUGAGUACACACAAAGUAGGCGGAAUCCAUGGUGUAGCGGUGAAAUGCUUAGAUAUCAUGAAGAACCCCGAUUGCGAAGGCAGCUUACUGGAGUGUAACUGACGCU